AUCUAUGUCUAUACCACCCUGAAUGUGCCUGGUCUCAUCUGAUCUUGGAAGCUAAGCAGAGUCAGGCUUGGUUAGUACUUGGAUGGGAGAAGUAGCAAGAAUGUAGGAAUGUAUGGAUG
ensembl:rRNA 5S_rRNA 5S ribosomal RNA